rnacentral:rRNA from 1 species
UUGCCGUCAGCUCGUGUCGUGAGAUGUGGUUAAGUCCGCAACGAGCGCAACCCUCGACCUUAGUUGCCAGCAUUCAGUUGGGCACUCUAAGGUGACUGCCGGCUAAAAGUCGGAGGAAGGUGGGGAUGACGUCAAAUCAUCAUGCCCCUUAUGACCUGGGCUACACACGUGCUACAAUGGGCGGUACAAAGGGUCGCGAACCCGCGAGGGGGAGCCAAUCCCAAAAAGCCGCUCUCAGUUCGGAUUGCAGGCUGCAACUCGCCUGCAUGAAGCCGGAAUCGCUAGUAAUCGCGGAUCAGCAUGCCGCGGUGAAUACGUUCCCGGGCCUU